GCUUACGACCAUAUCACGUUGAGAACACCGGUUCUCGUCUGAUCACCGAAGUUAAGCAACGUCGAGCCGAGUCAGUACUUGGGAGGGUGACCAC
rnacentral:rRNA from 1 species